rnacentral:rRNA from 1 species
UACGUAGGGGGCAAGCGUUGUCCGGAAUCAUUGGGCGUAAAGCGCGCGUAGGCGGCCAGAUAAGUCCGGUGUGAAAGUCACAGGCUCAACCUGUGAAUGCCGCUGGAAACUGUCUGGCUAGAGUCCGGAAGGGGCGAGUGGAAUUCCUGGUGUAGCGGUGAAAUGCGCAGAUAUCAGGAGGAACACCAAUGGCGAAGGCAGCUCGCUGGGACGGUACUGACGCUGAGGCGCGAAAGCGUGGGGAGCAAACAGG